UUGGGAGCCUUUAUGCUGGUCAGCUACACCAUGUGGGCGAUUGCACCCUCCCCUGACUGUGGGCCGUUCAGAGGCCUCCGCACUAUGGCCCAGGUGGGAAAGCAGUGGGUCAAGAGGCAGAACAUCGAAUGGUUCACCUGGGUCUACUGUUACAUAGUGAACAAUCCCAUCUCCCUUUUUCUCUCCUCAGGAAUUUUCCUUAUAAUCAUUUAUUUUCACACCCAAGUAGUAGAUGGACAGCAAAAGAUUGUCAGCCUCUUACAAGAACAGAUUAGAAAUGAGGGAGCCGACAAGAAAUUCCUCAUCACCAAACUGCAAACCCUUCAAAGGGAGAGAGAUGGCCGUUUGGCAAAAACGUAAACACAGGGGCCCACAGGAUUCUGCCUAUGAAGGAUAACAUUGACGCUUGGGAAAGGAUUUAGGGCAUGUGUUUUGACAAUAGAAUAUUCAGUUUUACCUAUUGUUGUGAGAAUGAUAAAAUAAUGUGAGUGCAAACAGAAGUGAAACUUGGUAUGUCCCAUAAGCUUUGCUGCUGUCAUGCCGCGCCCAGCCGACCCUUCUGUCUCCGCCCCUAGUGUGGUCCAACGAGACACACCUGUGUCGUAUUACUCCUACAUCUUGUUCCUGCUCUUCUGUGGAUCACUCCAGCUGCCUCUCAUUUUGCUCCUUUGUUAAUCCGUAGUAUAUAAGUGCCUCCCAGAUCUAUGAUACCCACUCUGGACAUUGACAUUGUUCAUUGUCAGUCUUGUGCUUAGAGCCUGUUUGAAGUUCCCCUGUGAUUCAUUUGUUUCCCUUACUUUGAUUAAAAUAAACUCUUCUUGUU